CCUACGGGGGGCAGCAGUAGGGAAUCUUCGGCAAUGGACGCAAGUCUGACCGAGCAACGCCGCGUGAGUGAAGAAGGUUUUCGGAUCGUAAAACUCUGUUGUCAGCCAAGAACGAGAAGAAGAGGGAAUGCUUUUUCUGUGACGGUCGCUGACCAGAAAGCCACGGCUAACUACGUGCCAGCAGCCGCGGUAAUACGUAGGUGGCAAGCGUUGUCCGGAUUUAUUGGGCGUAAAGCGAGCGCAGGCGGUCUUUUAAGUCUGAUGUGAAAGCCCCCGGCUUAACCGGGGAGGGUCAUUGGAAACUGGGAGACUUGAGUGCAGAAGAGGAGAGUGGAAUUCCAUGUGUAGCGGUGAAAUGCGUAGAUAUAUGGAGGAACACCAGUGGCGAAGGCGGCUCUCUGGUCUGACACUGACGCUGAGGCUCGAAAGCGUGGGGAGCAAACAGGAUUAGAUACCCGUGUAGUC
rnacentral:rRNA from 1 species